UACGUAGGGUGCGAGCGUUAAUCGGAAUUACUGGGCGUAAAGGGUGCGCAGGCGGCUCCGCAUGUCGGGCGUGAAAUCCCCGGGCUUAACCUGGGAAUUGCGUCCGAAACUAUGGAGCUGGAGUGUGGCAGAGGGAGGUGGAAUUCCACGUGUAGCGGUGAAAUGCGUAGAGAUGUGGAGGAACACCGAUGGCGAAGGCAGCCUCCUGGGCCAACACUGACGCUGAGGCACGAAAGUGUGGGGAUCAAACAGG
rnacentral:rRNA from 1 species